rnacentral:rRNA from 1 species
GACAGAGGUGCCAAGCGUUAGGCGGAAUCACUGGGCUUAAAGCGUGCGUAGGCGGAUGUGCAGGCGUCGUGUGAAAGCCCUCGGCUCAACCGGGGAAUUGCACGGCGAACCGCACGUCUCGAGACAAGUAGGGGCGGUCGGAACGAUAGGUGGAGUGGUGAAAUGCGCAGAUAUCAGGAGGAACACCGGUGGCGAAGGCGGCAUCCUGGACCGGUAUUGACGCUGAGGCGCGAAAGCCAGGGGAGCAAACGGG